CCCUUAGAUGUUCUGGGCCGCACGCGUGCUACACUGAACGGUUCAAUGGGUGAGGUAGUGCGAAAGCAUGACCCAAUCUCAAAAUCCGUUCGUGCUGGGGAUAGAAGCUUGCAAUUCUCCUUCUUGAACGAGGAAUACCUUGUAAGCGCGAGUCAUCAUCUCGCGCUGAACACGUCCCUGCCCUUUGUACACACCGCCCGUCGCUCCUACCGAUUGAGUGGUCCGGUGAGGCUUCGGGAGAGCUAAAUGGAUUGUGUUUCACAAACUAUUUGGCUUGAACUUAGUCAAACCUUACUACUUAGAGGAAGGAGAAGUCGUAACA
rnacentral:rRNA from 1 species